UGGCUCUCGCAUCGAUGAAGAACGCAGCGAAAUGCGAUAAGUAAUGUGAAUUGCAGAAUUCAGUGAAUCAUCGAAUCUUUGAACGCAGCUUGCGCCCUUUGGUAUUCCGAAGGGCAUGCCUGUUUGAGUGUCAUUAAAUUAUCAAACCUGAAGUUUUCUUUCUUCAGCGCUUUGGACUUUGGAGGUAUGCGGGCUCGCCCGCUCCUCUUGAAACGCAUUAGCGGUCCUCUGUCGAGUCCCUCGCCCCGGCGUGAUAAUUAUCUACGUCGUCGGCUCUCUCGAAUCUCUGAGCCGCUCAUAGCCGUCUCCUCUCCGAGACAGACUCUUUUGACGAUUUGACCUCAAAUCAGGUAGGAUUACCCGCUGA
rnacentral:misc_RNA from 1 species